AUAUUAUGGCAGCACAUAUUCUAAAAUUGGAAUGAUACACAGAAGAUUAUCACGGCUCAUGUGCAAGGACAACACGCAAAUUCUUAAAGCGUUCGAUAUAUUU